GUUAAUGUAGCUUAAUAUAUAAAGCAAAGCACUGAAAAUGCUUAGAUGAGUACAUAUAAAUACUCCAUAAACA
rnacentral:tRNA from 1 species